rnacentral:rRNA from 1 species
CCUACGGGAGGCAGCAGUGAGGAAUAUUGGUCAAUGGGCGCAAGCCUGAACCAGCCAAGCCGCGUGAAGGACGAAUGUCCUACGGGUUGUAAACUUCUUUUAUCAAGGCAUAAAAUCAGGCUCGAGUGCCUGACUGUAUGUACUUUAUGAAUAAGCAUCGGCUAACUCCGUGCCAGCAGCCGCGGUAAUACGGAGGAUGCGAGCGUUAUCCGGAUUUAUUGGGUUUAAAGGGGGCGUAGAGGGGGUGUUAAGUCAGGUGGGAAAGGUUGCGGCUCAACCUUAGGAGUGCAAUUGAUACUGGCAGUCUUGAGUACAGUAGAGGUAUGCGGAAUGCGUAGUGUAGCGGUGAAAUGCUUAGAUAUCACGAAGAACUCCGAUUGCGAAGGCAGCAUACUGGACGGCAACUGACGCUGAGGCACGAAAGCGUGGGUAUCAAACAGGAUUAGAUACCCUAGUAGUC